AUUGAACGCUGGCGGCAUGCUUUACACAUGCAAGUCGAACGGUAACAGGCCGCAAGGUGCUGACGAGUGGCGAACGGGUGAGUAAUGCAUCGGAACGUGCCCAGUCGUGGGGGAUAACGCAGCGAAAGCUGCGCUAAUACCGCAUACGAUCUCUGGAUGAAAGCGGGGGACCGUAAGGCCUCGCGCGAUUGGAACGGCCGAUGUCAAAUUAGGUAGUUGGUAGGGUAAAGGCUCACCAAGCCAACGAGCUGUAGCUGGUCUUAGAGGACGACCAGCCACACUGGGACUGAGACACGGCCCAGACUCCUACGGGAGGCAGCAGUGGGGAAUUUUGGACAAUGGGCGCAAGCCUGAUCCAGCAAUGCCGCGUGCAGGAAGAAGGCCUUCGGGUUGUAAACUGCUUUUGUACGGAACGAAAAGGCUCCGGUUAAUACCUGGGGCUCAUGACGGUACCGUAAGAAUAAGCACCGGCUAACUACGUGCCAGCCGCCGCUGUAAUAC
rnacentral:rRNA from 1 species